UUGGUGUUCUGUUGGUGUUCUACCUGUCUUCUUCCUUCUCGGUUUCACGGAUGCCCUGUGCUGAUGACCGAACGCUUCUUCGAUUAGUAAGGAGGUAUUCAUCUUGAUUUUUUGUUGAGGAUUGAGAAAGGUAUCUUCACCUCAGGUAUUAUCUUAUCUUGAUCUAUUGCCGAGGCUGAGAUUGGUAGAUCCGAUUGGAUCUUGGUUGCCUUCUAUUCGAUACUCUGUUGCCUUCUUGUUGGUUUCGGUUAAAGGUAUUUUAUACCUCAUAUUGUAUCUAUUUUUCGGGACAGAUUUAUAGUGGAUUGCUCCUCCUCCCCGUGGAUGUAGGCCUCUUGUGCCGAACCACGUAAAUCUUGGUUUCUUUGUCUUUGUUUAUUUAUGCCUGCAAUGUGUUUGGUGAAUUGUCUCAAAGAGAUUAGACUUUAGAUCAAAAGCCUAGGUCGAUCCAAUC
rnacentral:lncRNA from 1 species